UACAGAGGGUGCGAGCGUUGUCCGGAAUCAUUGGGCGUAAAGGGCGCGUAGGUGGCCCAGUCAGCGUGCGGUGAAAGCUCGGGGCUCAACCCCGAGUCGGCCGUGCGAACUGCUGGGCUUGAGCACUGUAGAGGCAGGCGGAAUUCCGGGUGUAGCGGUGGAAUGCGUAGAGAUCCGGAAGAACACCGGUGGCGAAGGCGGCCUGCUGGGCAGUGGCUGACACUGAGGCGCGACAGCGUGGGGAGCAAACAGG
rnacentral:rRNA from 1 species